UCCUAUUCAAACUUUCUACAACCCUAUAGUCUCUAGCAUUCCAUAUCUAAGCUUCUAAAAAUAGGGCUCUGCGGUUAAUCUCUAUGGAAGGCCUAUGUGCAAUUUCAAGUAAACCUAAGCAAAAAUUUGUUGCAUGCACUGAAUUUAAAUUUCAUUAACUGUUGCCAAGCCUUCCUGGUCCUUUUACUCUCCUCUUCUCCGUCUUCCCUUGUGCAUGUGCAUUUACUUUGAGGAGAAAAGAAAGGAAUCUCAAAGAUGAGAUGCAGGGAAGGAGCAGAUGAAGCUUCAUAACCCAAAACCCAUCCAUUUCCCGGAGAAAUCGUAUGUGGUAUACUGCAGAAUUUGAGUACUUGGAGGCUCUUCGGAAGGGCAAGUCUCAAAUUUGAUUGUUCGUGGCUCUAGCUCGGCAGCGAGGGUCUUAGAGGGUCCCAUGAGGUAUCACUCAACAUGGAGGAACCCCAGCAACCUAGGAUCAGUAGUACUAGGCUGAGUUGAGGAACUCAAAGCCUUUCCUUACAUUUCCCUGGCCCUAGGUUCUAUUCCGAGUUCGAGUGGUGAACGAGUUAUCGUUGAUCGUUGAGGCAUAUAUUUGGAGUUGUCUAGAUAUGUGUCGCACACUGAUGGGAUGUCCGCAGGAAGACCGCAAGAUUCUUUUAUUGACCAUGAUGUCACCCGAAGAUUAAGUUUAGAAUAAUUUUAUUUAAAUUUUAAGUAUUUAUGAUUUUGUGGACCGCAUGAAUACUUCGUUAUUGACAAUUAUUUCGUUAUGCA